CACAUUACAGGAAGGGCUAUGGAUCUAGUAGGUGCCCUUACAGACACAUUACAGGAAGGGCUGUGGAUCUAGUAGGUGCCCUUACAGACACAUUACAGGAAGGGCUGUGGAUCUAGUAGGUGCCCUUACAGACACAUUACAGGAAGCGCUGUGGAUCUAGUAGGUGCCCUUAGACACAUUACAGGAAUGGCUGUGGAUCUAGUAGGUGCCUUUACAGACACAUUACAGGACUACAGAAGGUAGGGUUACUAUGGAGAACUUUGGAAAGAGGUUGAAGAGAUUGCAGAGCUCUGUGAAAUAAGUGUACAAACAGUAUGUUAAAGACAGUCUAAAACAAGCGUGUGAUUCCACAAAUCAUUGAUGAUGAGCACUGUAGGACAGAAAGAUAGUGACCAAAGUGAUGGUGAGAGCUUCCAAAGAGCUGUCUUUU
ensembl:lncRNA